GUUUUUUUCAAAAUGUGCCUAAUAAAAAAUUUUCAAUUACAUGUGUGGCUCAAAUUAUAUUUCUAUUAGCACUGUCAGUGACAUAGCUAGCUCAAAUAGUAAAAGAAUUUGGCAGGCGAGUGAGAUCCCAGUGGAAAGAACGGGUCACCAAAGAAGGAGGUACCUUUCUCUGAAGGGAGGAGAGAACUUCCACUUUGACUACGACCUUGUCUAAAUAUGAUCAGAGUUGGUGAACUCAAAAGGCUUCCAUAGCCUUGGUGACUCAUGACAAGAGCCUAGGGUGAUUACUGAUGCCAUAAACAAGUGUGUCAAUUUGUUAAGUCAACAACAGGAGUCACUGUGCACUUACUCCUCAUGUAGGAUCUCUGUCCUUAAUGUGCUGUA